GAUGAACGCUAGCUACAGGCUUAACACAUGCAAGUCGAGGGGUAACGAGAGGAAAGCUUGCUUUCCUUGUCGACGACCGGCGCACGGGUGAGUAACGCGUAUCCAACCUGCCCCCAACUAAGGAAUAACCUUGCGAAAGUAAGACUAAUACCUUAUAAUUUCCUCAGAUGUCAUCUGACGAGGAAUCAAAAUUUAUCGGUUGUGGAUGGGGAUGCGUCUGAUUAGCUUGUUGGCGGGGUAACGGCCCACCAAGGCAACGAUCAGUAGGGGUUAUGAGAGGAAGGUCACCGACAUUGGAACUGAGACACGGUCCAAACGCCUACGGGAGGCAGCAGUGAGGAAUAUUGGUCAAUGGGCGGAAGCCUGAACCAGCCAAGUAGCGUGCAGGAUGACGGCCCUAUGGGUUGUAAACUGCUUUUAUACAGGAAUAAAGUUAGCCACGUGUGGUUAUUUGUAGGUACUGUAUGAAUAAGGACCGGCUAAUUCCGUGCCAGCCGCCGCGGUAA
rnacentral:rRNA from 1 species